rnacentral:lncRNA from 1 species
UUUCUUUAUAAGACCUUUCCAGGCUGCAUGUAUUUCCCUAAUCAAUGCUACUUUCCACCUCUUCACAGAAUUACGGAACUUGAAUUAAAAGUGAUCUCAGUGGCCAUUUAGUUCCAUCUCCAUGUGCAAGGCAACCUCACUGUUUCAUGAAUCAGUCCUCUGGAAUCUGUGGGUAGUCAUUGCUGCUGAGUCAUUAAAGUCCAGUGGCAAGAAAAAAGUCAAGAUGGCUAGAUGGUUCAGGAUUCAAUGGAUGGCCUUGGCUUCAAAGAUGUCUAACCAAGCUCUAAGUGUUCCACGGUGCCUGCUUCAGCUGCCUUCCUGGACACUGGAACAAACUGUUCUUAUCUACCCAUUCCUCCUGGGGAAGUCUUCACAUACUCCUUAG